rnacentral:rRNA from 1 species
GAUGAACGCUGGCGGCGUGCCUAAUGCAUGCAAGUCGAGCGAACGGACGAGAAGCUUGCUUCUCUGAUGUUAGCGGCGGACGGGUGAGUAACACGUGGAUAACCUACCUAUAAGACUGGGAUAACUUCGGGAAACCGGAGCUAAUACCGGAUAAUAUUUUGAACCGCAUGGUUCAAAAGUGAAAGACGGUCUUGCUGUCACUUAUAGAUGGAUCCGCGCUGCAUUAGCUAGUUGGUAAGGUAACGGCUUACCAAGGCAACGAUGCAUAGCCGACCUGAGAGGGUGAUCGGCCACACUGGAACUGAGACACGGUCCAGACUCCUACGGGAGGCAGCAGUAGGGAAUCUUCCGCAAUGGGCGAAAGCCUGACGGAGCAACGCCGCGUGAGUGAUGAAGGUCUUCGGAUCGUAAAACUCUGUUAUUAGGGAAGAACAUAUGUGUAAGUAACUGUGCACAUCUUGACGGUACCUAAUCAGAAAGCCACGGCUAACUACGU